GGCAGGCAGCCGGGACCAGCUGGAGACGGCAGCCAGGCGGGAGUGGAAUGGGCACAAGGGAGGGGCUGGUUGGAGGUGGGAGGAACAACCCCCACCAAACCCAGAGCCGAAAACUGAGGGAGUUUUACAGACAGGACGGAGCUCCUGCACCUCGGAGCCUCAGUUGGGAAUGACCUGGGGUCUUGUCCUGAAGCUGAGUCUGGUGAACGUGCCCCAUUUGUAACAUGAGGGGUACUUCUCUGGAGGGACUGUAUGUUGACAGUGGCAGAGUGGAGCCCUGAAGUCCACCUGAGUGAAUAUACCAGGGCUUGAGAAUGGG
rnacentral:lncRNA from 1 species